UCCUGCCGCAGCCCUCAGUCCUAAGCUCACAGUGUUCUCUGGGCUAGGCUCUCCCUUCUUGUGAUCUGUCAUGAUCCACAAACUCUUCUAUGUUCUCCAUUUUUCCCUUGGAGUAGGGUUCCUGGAUGCUGGGGUCACUCAGACCCCGAGAUACCGAAUUACAAGCACAGGAGAGAAGCUGGUCCUGGAGUGCUCUCAAGAUAUGAACCAUUUUGCAAUGUUCUGGUAUCGGCAAGAUGCAGGCCAAGGGCUGAGGCUGAUCCAUUACUCAACGGAUGUGGGCAGCACUGUCAAAGGAGACUCUGCAGAAGGGUACAGUGUCUCCCGAGGCGAGCAGAAGCGCUUCCCCCUGACACUGGUAUCGGCCAGCCCCAGCCAGACCUCUCUGUACCUCUGCAGCAGCAGCCUUCACGGUGCUGCACCAUCAGCUGUGCUCUGCACAAGAAGGGCGGGCACAGCUUCGCCUUCCUGAGUCCCUGCCCCAACCACCAUGCAAAGCUGCUGCUC